CAGAUUUCUUAAAGGGCAAGAUCUUGCUGGUAUACUUCCACCAUCUUUGGUUAAGCUACCCAACCUUAAGGAAAUUGAUUUGAAUAGAAACUACCUUAGUGGAAUGAUACCACGAGAAUGAGCUUCAAUGAAGUUGGAAUUUCUGUCCAUCAGUACGAACAACUUAUCAGGAUGUAUUGACUACUUGGCAAACAUUACCACUCUGAGAGCUCUAUCUGUUCUGGAUCUCUAUGUUAAAUAAUUUCAACAAAUCGUUUGGUUAAGCUCUGCUGUCUGUAAUCUUGGACUG